rnacentral:rRNA from 1 species
UACGUAGGGGGCAAGCGUUGUCCGGAUUUAUUGGGCGUAAAGAGCGUGUAGGCGGCCUGAAAGGUCAGCUGUGAAAACUCGAGGCUUAACCUCGAGACGUCGGUUGAAACCAUCUGCUAGAGUCCGGAAGAGGAGUGUGGAAUUCCCGGUGUAGCGGUGAAAUGCGCAGAUAUCGGGAAGAACACCCGUGGCGAAGGCGGCACUCUGGGACGGUACUGACGCUGAGACGCGAAAGCGUGGGGAGCGAACAGG